GUCCCGACGCUUCUCCGUUCUUUGCCCCUCUCGGCGAGUUCUCCUUCUUGGGUUUCCAUCCCGGGGUGCGGGCACAUAGCAGCCUGCCCAAAACCUUCUCUUUUGGGAAACAGCUGGAAAAAGGACAGGGGAGGCAACAGGGACCGCCUUAGACGGCAAGGGAAGGCACUCCGCACACAGAACCAGAGCGAGCCUGCACAGCUUUCCCGGCUUUUGGCUUGUCCCUGCUGUGUCUUCUGCGAUCACAGGCCUCUUCAUUCAGCUUAACACUGAGAGCUUCAGGGGGUCUCCUGCACCGACAACAGCUGCUGAUCCCAAGGUAUGAGAUGAAAUGUUUUGAAUGUUCAUGAAGCUGCAUUUUCUUUAGAAAACGUUUCAGAGGUGGUGAAAGAUGCUGCUCACUACCAACUGAGAUGAGAGAAUCUACCAUUUGGAUAAAAAAACCUUGGGCAAGCUGCCACAAUGGACCCUGAAAGGAGAGCCUUCAGACUUCAGCACUCUGCUAAUUCAAAACCACCAUGACUUUAUAUUGAUUGCAAAUGGAACUAUUUUAUUUUGCUCCCCCCUCUUUGUUGUCCUUGUCAUCAGCAAACAUAAAAGAUUUUUAUCCUUUCUUCAAGAAGAUAACAAAACAGAAACAAACCAAUGAGGAGACAGGAUCACUUUCAGCAACAGCACACUGGAGAUAAGGCACCUGAAAUAUGUCCUACACCAAGGCAAUAUUUCUGCAGGGCUUUCACCAAUGACUGACCUGAAACUCUCAUGUGUAACAAAGAUUUCAACACAUAAAGGUAACUCAAUGAAACAUUAAACAUAGUUUUGGUGGAAAGUAGAGCAUUAUGGGGUACACAGGUGAAUGAGAGUUAAAAUCCAAGCAGAGCGUGUCUGCUAAACUAGUACAGUCAUUGCUGUAUAAAAAUGUACACACUUGAAUAUUACAUUCAUGCAGGACAAAAGCUUAUCAUAAAUCUACUAAUAAGGGCUAGACUGCAGAUUUGCAAACAUGAACUGAAAAGCAACCCUGAACCUACAGAAAACUGCAUUACCAGUCAAAUCUGUCAAAGGAAAUUUCUAUGAACAAUGAAGUACAUAUAUACCUGGGAAUCUUCUGGGACUUUAUGAGACAGUAAAUCAGUUUGUUGUGAAAUUUUCUUUUCAGCAAUAUCAGAGUUGGAUUAAAGUUUUGUGGUUUGCUGCUCAGAUUAAUUAUUUGCCUUUGAGGAUGUGGGUUGCAUUGGAAAGCAGAUGAAUGACAAGCAAUCUAUGUAAGAGUUUUAAUUGUCAGUAUAUGUCCUAUUCACUUGCAAAACAAAAGGGCAAAACUAAACAAGCAUGUACUGAGAAACUUGAUUAACAGUCUCUUCCACUGCCUUAUAAGUACUUGUAUUCAUUAAUUCUGCCAUAACUUUUCCAUCCAAAUGAUUUGAACACAAUAAAACCCCUGUCAAUUAAAGAAAUGAACAGGCUACUUCAGGGCUCAGAAAAUCGCUGGUGGAAUGACACAGCUGCCAAAUGUAACUUGAUGCAGAAAUGGUAAAAACCAGUUUGUGAUGAUCAACCAGAGAUCUACAGAUACUGCAAAUGAUGCUGUAGUGGAAACAUUGUAGGGACUUUCUGGAACAGUAUGGAGCCACAAUUGCCGAGAUUGUAGGCCCAUGACCUGUUGCUCCUCAGCCAAUUUUGUGAAUGUGGGAGUAAAAGGAACUAGAGAGGAUAAAAGACUGCCUAAUUCAGUGUGAAGAGUGGAUGUCCGUGUAGUCAAAACUGCCAUGGCUGGAGCCAGUAAGAGUGUACAUAUAAAAAUAAGUGUGCCCAGGAUGCAACUGUUUAUAUUCCUUAUCUUCCAUAAUAUCCCCUGUUUUGAAUCAAUGCAAUGAUUCCUUUAUGCUGUUAAACAGACCCAAGGAACGGCUUUCAAAUUAAAAAAAAAAAAAUCUUAAUAAAAUAGAACUGUUAUUACAGAAUUUGUCAACUUUUCCACAGAUGUUGAGUAGCCCUUGCUAAUAGGCUUUUUAUAUAUUUCCCAUGUGUUAACCUUUUCCCCCCCUUUUCUGUGUAUAUAAUGAGUGUCUGUGCGCAUGUGCACACGAGUGUGGCACACUGAAUGCAGUUACAUUUUCCAUUUAGAUUCCUCUUGCCCUUUUGGUAGUGAAGCUGGGAAAUAUUAUAUUACACACAAAGUUUUACUCCCAAUAAAAGUUACUCUUUCUGUGACUGCCUUCUGUGCACGUUCUGGACCACCGUGUGUUUUAAUGAAUUUCCACUCUUUCUUGUAAUGGAACACUGUGAGGCAACGUGUAAUGGCACCAGGGCUGAGCAAGUCCCUGUUUCCUCCCCAGACCUACACAGGACUGCAUUAUGUUAUGUCAUGCUUCUGAUAAUCUCCUAGGCAGAAGAAUGCCACGUGUUACAGAAACUGCUCUGCCAUCUGCUUUGGCCAGGUGUGUUCACUGAACCUCAGUUACAUCACUUUACAAGUGCAUCGCUGUUUCCUUUUUCCACAUAUAUUCCUUCCCAUCUGUCCCUUAAAAUAUUCACACAGUUUCUCCUGGUUAAUGGGUGGCAUUCAUAGCAUAUAUUUUCUCACUGGUUUCAUUUUAAUUUUCCAUGGGGCAUGUCCUAUUCCUCUUUUCUUCAAUGAUCCAACAAACUUCCAAUCUUGCACAUUCAAUCCUUCUUGCCUUAGGUGACAUUCAAAUGAUACAGUGAAUAAAACAUAAUAUGAAGGAGAAGACAUAAACAGCAGGAGCAGAGUAGCUGAGAUGGGUUCCAGUUCAGAGGGGGUCCUCAUUUAAGUGCCUUAGGACCCUGUCCUAAUUUUUUUCAUACCUGUCCAUCACAUUUGCCCUGGAAGCCUAGAAAACUAAUGUUUUGAAAAUUUCUCCAGUAGCUUGAUCCAUGAGGACUUUGCAUGCUACAAAAGGAAGACAGAAUAUCUGAAGAAGAGUUUUGGAAAGUCUGCUAGGUGUCUUCAAAUAACUAGCAAUGAUAAGAAAAAGAAAUAUAUUUUAUAAGCUACAAAGUGUAAAGAUUGUCCUUAGGUUCUGAAAGAAAUACCUGAAAAUCCAAGCUUGAGACACAUCUGUUCAUAAUCUCCAAGAACCAGUUUCAUUCAAUUAAGUGAUUGCUAGGCUGUCAGCCAUAGUAUGCGAUCCAAACUUUAGGUGGACUUCUGUCUUCACAUUUUUCCUUUUCCUGCACAGGACAUCAGUCUGAGGGAAAGCUUGCCUUUCAUUCCUGUUGUUUUGCAAGGUUCUUUUAUGAGUCUGGUAUGAAGCCUUACACUGAAGUCUUACACUGAGUUCUGCAAAAUAAUUAUAUAGUACCUCAGAAAUCAGUUCUCAAGGCAUUCUACCUCACUCAGACUGUUACCUCACAUCAUCUAACUUUUUUUUUACUUUUUAAGAUUCAUUUGAAAUGCUGAUAUUUUUCAGAUAUUUUUUAAGGGCUUACUUCUAAAACACAUAUUUAAAUGUGAGUGCAGAGUAUAGUCUUUACUUUCUAACCAAGCUAAGUACAAACAAUUAUUUUAUUCUUAUCACAGCAUUAAUCCUGCAGGCUGACAAGGAAGAUUUUAAAUCUUGUGAUUUAGAUCCACUAGCAUUUUCUCUUGCAGGUAAGCCAGUUUAAGGGGUAUUUUUUUAAAUAAUGGAUAUUGUAAUGGAGUGUAACCUUCUGCUUGUGUGAAGGUGAAGAUACAUUCUAUGACUUUGAUACCCAAGGUCACUGUUUCUGUUAAAAUGACUUGUUGAAAGACCUACAGCA